GGUUAAGCGACUAAGCGUACACGGUGGAUGCCCUGGCAGUCAGAGGCGAUGAAGGACGUGCUAAUCUGCGAUAAGCGUCGGUAAGGUGAUAUGAACCGUUAUAACCGGCGAUUUCCGAAUGGGGAAACCCAGUGUGUUUCGACACACUAUCAUUAACUGAAUCCAUAGGUUAAUGAGGCGAACCGGGGGAACUGAAACAUCUAAGUACCCCGAGGAAAAGAAAUCAACCGAGAUUCCCCCAGUAGCGGCGAGCGAACGGGGAGCAGCCCAGAGCCUGAAUCAGUGUGUGUGUUAGUGGAAGCGUCUGGAAAGGCGCGCGAUACAGGGUGACAGCCCCGUACACAAAAAUGCACAUGCUGUGAGCUCGAUGAGUAGGGCGGGACACGUGGUAUCCUGUCUGAAUAUGGGGGGACCAUCCUCCAAGGCUAAAUACUCCUGACUGACCGAUAGUGAACCAGUACCGUGAGGGAAAGGCGAAAAGAACCCCGGCGAGGGGAGUGAAAAAGAACCUGAAACCGUGUACGUACAAGCAGUGGGAGCACGCUUAGGCGUGUGACUGCGUACCUUUUGUAUAAUGGGUCAGCGACUUAUAUUCUGUAGCAAGGUUAACCGAAUAGGGGAGCCGAAGGGAAACCGAGUCUUAACUGGGCGUUAAGUUGCAGGGUAUAGACCCGAAACCCGGUGAUCUAGCCAUGGGCAGGUUGAAGGUUGGGUAACACUAACUGGAGGACCGAACCGACUAAUGUUGAAAAAUUAGCGGAUGACUUGUGGCUGGGGGUGAAAGGCCAAUCAAACCGGGAGAUAGCUGGUUCUCCCCGAAAGCUAUUUAGGUAGCGCCUCGUGAAUUCAUCUCCGGGGGUAGAGCACUGUUUCGGCAAGGGGGUCAUCCCGACUUACCAACCCGAUGCAAACUGCGAAUACCGGAGAAUGUUAUCACGGGAGACACACGGCGGGUGCUAACGUCCGUCGUGAAGAGGGAAACAACCCAGACCGCCAGCUAAGGUCCCAAAGUCAUGGUUAAGUGGGAAACGAUGUGGGAAGGCCCAGACAGCCAGGAUGUUGGCUUAGAAGCAGCCAUCAUUUAAAGAAAGCGUAAUAGCUCACUGGUCGAGUCGGCCUGCGCGGAAGAUGUAACGGGGCUAAACCAUGCACCGAAGCUGCGGCAGCGACGCUGAUGCGUUGUUGGGUAGGGGAGCGUUCUGUAAGCCUGCGAAGGUGUGCUGUGAGGCAUGCUGGAGGUAUCAGAAGUGCGAAUGCUGACAUAAGUAACGAUAAAGCGGGUGAAAAGCCCGCUCGCCGGAAGACCAAGGGUUCCUGUCCAACGUUAAUCGGGGCAGGGUGAGUCGACCCCUAAGGCGAGGCCGAAAGGCGUAGUCGAUGGGAAACAGGUUAAUAUUCCUGUACUUGGUGUUACUGCGAAGGGGGGACGGAGAAGGCUAUGUUGGCCGGGCGACGGUUGUCCCGGUUUAAGCGUGUAGGCUGGUUUUCCAGGCAAAUCCGGAAAAUCAAGGCUGAGGCGUGAUGACGAGGCACUACGGUGCUGAAGCAACAAAUGCCCUGCUUCCAGGAAAAGCCUCUAAGCAUCAGGUAACAUCAAAUCGUACCCCAAACCGACACAGGUGGUCAGGUAGAGAAUACCAAGGCGCUUGAGAGAACUCGGGUGAAGGAACUAGGCAAAAUGGUGCCGUAACUUCGGGAGAAGGCACGCUGAUAUGUAGGUGAGGUCCCUCGCGGAUGGAGCUGAAAUCAGUCGAAGAUACCAGCUGGCUGCAACUGUUUAUUAAAAACACAG
rnacentral:rRNA from 1 species